rnacentral:misc_RNA from 1 species
GGUUCGAUCAUGGCUCAGAUUGAACGCCGCGGGAUGCUUUACACAUGCAAGUCGAACGGCAGCACGGACUUCGGUCUGGUGGCGAGUGGCGAACGGGUGAGUAAUGUAUCGGAACGUGCCUAGUAGCGGGGGAUAACUACGGUGUUGUAGCCAAUACCGCACUUCUUUCGGGGAAAGUGGGAUCUUCGGCCUCGCACUAUUAGAGCGGCCGAUAUCGGAUUAGCUAGUUGCGGGGUAACGGCUCACCAAGGCGACGAUCCGUAGCUGGUUUGAGAGGACGACCAGCCACACUGGGACUGAGACACGGCCCAGACUCCUACGGAGGCAGCAGUGGGGAAUUUUGGACAAUGGGGGAAAACCCUGAUCCAGCCAUCCCAAGCGUGUGCGAUGAAGGCCUUCGGGUUGUAAAGCACUUGGCAGGAAGAAAACGGCACGGAUAACACCCGUGUAACUGACGGUACCUGCAGAAUAAGCACCGUUAACCACGCGCCAGCAGCCGCGGUAAUAAUGUAGGGUGCAAGCGUUAAUCGAAUUACUGGGCGUAAAGCGUGCGCAGGCGGUUCGGAAAGAAAGAUGUGAAAUCCCAGAGCUUAACUUUGGAACUGCAUUUUUAACUACCGAGCUAGAGUGUGUCAGAGGGAGGUAAUCGCGGCAGUGAAAUGCGUAGAUAUGCGAGGAACGGAUGGCGAAGUGCAGCCUCCUGGGAUAACAUCAUCGCUCAUGCACGAAAGCGUGGGGAGCAAAUGAUGAGGAUUAGAUACCCUGGUAGUCCACGCCCUAAACGAUGUCAACUAGCUGUUGGGGCCUUCGGGCCUUGGUAGCGCAGCUAACGCGGCAAAGUUGACCGCCUGGGGAGUACGGUCGCAAGAUUAAAAACUCAAAGGAAUUGACGGGGACCCGCACAAGCGGUGGAUGAUGUGGAUUAAUUGAUGCAAUCGCGAAAACCUUUACCUACCCUUGACAUGUCUGAACUGAAGAGAUUUGGGAGUGCUCGCAAGAGAACGGAACACAGGUGCUGCAUGGCUGUC